GGGGCUUUAACGGUUUCGACGUGGUGGCGAAAGCUGCUCUAUGAUUCAGGUCGAGAGCGAGUCAUCUCUCGUGAAUAAAAGACUCAAACAAUUGUAAAUGCGAACAACAUCGUAGCAUUUAAGCGUGUGGCAGUAGCUGCCUAACAAACCUCUUUAAGGUACGCUUGUCUGUAGCUUGACUCCGUUAAGGGCUACAGACCAACCCCAACGGAUGCUCUAGCAAGUAUUCUCUGGUUUGCUCGCUGGCUAAGAUUUAACCAGAGCAUCCUACCGUUCGGGAUAAAGAACGUUCCCCGCCUUGAGGGUGAGAUAGGCUAAACCUGUGAAUGAGUGGGGGGUUAAUACCCAUUGCGGACAUGGGUUCAAUUCCCAUAAGCUCCACUU
rnacentral:tmRNA from 2 species